rnacentral:rRNA from 1 species
GACGGGGGGGGCAAGUGUUCUUCGGAAUGACUGGGCGUAAAGGGCACGUAGGCGGUGAAUCGGGUUGAAAGUGAAAGUCGCCAAAAAGUGGCGGAAUGCUCUCGAAACCAAUUCACUUGAGUGAGACAGAGGAGAGUGGAAUUUCGUGUGUAGCGGUGAAAUGCGUAGAUAUAGGAAGGAACACCAGUGGCGAAGGCGACCACCUGGACUGAUACUGACACUGAGGUGCGAAAGCGUGGGGAUCAAACAGG